rnacentral:lncRNA from 1 species
UGUCAUACCCCAAAAUUCACCAUACCCCGAUAUAAUUUUCAUCUGAUCCAUGACCCUACUGCACAUGCAUACAUUCAUUAUUUCUAAAAAAAAAUUAUGUAACCGGUUACCCAAAUCAUGUAACCUGUUACACAGACCAAAAACUGAAUUUUUGGCCAUUUUUGGGACUAUGUAACCGGUUACCCAAAUUAGGUAACCGGUUACACCUGCGCAGAAAGCAGAAAAUGACCCUGUUUUUUACACAAAGGACCAUUUG